CGCCCCCUAGAACUGGCGCCUGCGCGGUAGCUGCGCCAUGGCGCGGACCCGGAAGUUUGAGAAUCUGGGCACUUUUGCACAGGGUCACAACUGGACGGAAAUAGCUGCACUUGUCACUAGAAGGCGCUAUUGCUAAACGUGGUAGUCACUUCGUGGAAAGCAGAAGAGGUAUUUGUCCUCCCGGAAGGCAUGGUAAACGUUUGGUAAUUACACCAAAUGCACGUAAUGGCAACUGUGACAUGCUGAAGCUCAAAAGGCGUACUUGAAGACACCAAUGAAACAGUUUGCAAUCUUUCUGAAAGGCAAAGAUUCUCUGAAAACUAAUAAUAUGUGCAGUACUUUUUGUUUUCUAUAAAGUUUUUGCGGUUUUAUCUGA